rnacentral:rRNA from 1 species
UACGUAGGGGGCUAGCGUUGCUCGGAAUCACUGGGCGUAAAGGGUGCGUAGGCGGGUCUUUAAGUCAGGGGUGAAAUCCUGGAGCUCAACUCCAGAACUGCCUUUGAUACUGAAGAUCUUGAGUUCGGGAGAGGUGAGUGGAACUGCGAGUGUAGAGGUGAAAUUCGUAGAUAUUCGCAAGAACACCAGUGGCGAAGGCGGCUCACUGGCCCGGAACUGACGCUGAUGUGCGAAAGCGUGGGGAGCAAACAGG